UACGGAGGUGGCAAGCGUUGCUCGGAAUCACUGGGCGUAAAGGGCGCGUAGGCGGGGAGGUAAGUCGGGUGUGAAAUCCCUCGGCCCAACUGAGGAACUGCGCCCGAGACUGCUUCUCUUGAGUCCCGGAGAGGAAGAUGGAAUUCCCGGUGUAGCGGUGAAAUGUGUAGAGAUCGGGAGGAACACCGGUGGCGAAGGCGGUCUUCUGGACGGUGACUGACGCUGAGGCGCGAAGCGUGGGGAGCAAACGGG
rnacentral:rRNA from 1 species